GCGAGGGAAGGUGGAUCGGAGGAGUGGAGACGGGAGAGAUAGAGACCAGAGAGAAGAGGGAUGAAGGAGAGGACAACGAGACGGAGGUGAGGAUCGGAGGAGAGGAAAGUGUCGUAAAGCCAGUGACAGAGAGGAUCGGAGUGGGAACCGGAGAGGGAGGAGGAGAGAGCGGAGUAAGCGGUGGGAGAGGAGAGUAGAGAGAGAGCGGGGCGUUCGGAGUCGGCGAGAGGAGAGAGAGUGGAGGUGUGGGUAGGGAGGAUUGAAGAGAGGGAGUGGAUUCGGG
rnacentral:lncRNA from 1 species